GUGUGAUGUCCACUCAGCCAUUCCCCUUGUCCUGCAGGCUUCCCGGGCACAACCUGGCCUGCUGAGGUGGCUGAAGUUUUGGUAGAAAAUUCCUUCUAGUCACUGCUGACACUUCAUGAACACAGGUCUUCAGGGAGCUUGAUUGUCCUCUCUGCUGUGACAGACCUACCUGGGCGUUGACAUCCCCCAUCAUCCCAUUUGGCUGAGGCUGUGGUGUCUCGGAGACAAGUCAGCCUCAUUGGAUAACCAGCCAGUUUCUAGUUUGUGACCGGAAGGUUCCCUAACAACCGCCGUAGGAACUUUCUGCUUUGGAGUUUCUCGGUAGAAAUAAAACACGACUUCUUUUGUU